CUGCUGGCUCAUGGUCAACCUGUCGUCCACUAGGACACCCAGGUCCCUCUCCACAGAGCUGACCACGUUUUUUCACUUACCCAGUGAGGCAGGGGGGCGAGUCCCGAGGGGGGCUCUCGCUUCUGGCACAAGCGCCUGGCAUGCGCCAGGUGCGACCCUCUCCGGGGACAGCGACAGGUGGGGAGUUUGACUGGGGCGGUACACCUGUCACAGCAUAACGCAGGUGUCCUAAGGCGAGCUCAGGGAGGACGGAAACCUCCCAUGGAGCAGAAGGGCAAAAGCUCACUUGAUCUUGAUUUUCAGUACGAAUACAGACUGGGAAAGCAGGGCCUCACGAUCCUUCUGGCUUUUUGGGUUUUAAGUAGAAGGUGUCAGAAAAGUUACCGCAG
rfam:Opisthocomus hoazin contig8616, whole genome shotgun sequence.